AUUGAACGCUGGCGGCAUGCUUUACACAUGCAAGUCGAACGGUAACAGGGAGCUUGCUCCGCUGACGAGUGGCGAACGGGUGAGUAAUGCAUCGGAACGUGCCGUGUAGUGGGGGAUAACGUAGCGAAAGUUACGCUAAUACCGCAUACGCCCUGAGGGGGAAAGUGGGGGACCGCAAGGCCUCACGCUAUACGAGCGGCCGAUGUCGGACUAGCUAGUUGGUAGGGUAAAGGCCUACCAAGGCGACGAUCCGUAGCGGGUCUGAGAGGAUGAUCCGCCACACUGGGACUGAGACACGGCCCAGACUCCUACGGGAGGCAGCAGUGGGGAAUUUUGGACAAUGGGCGCAAGCCUGAUCCAGCCAUGCCGCGUGAGUGAAGAAGGCCUUCGGGUUGUAAAGCUCUUCCAGACGGAAAGAAAUCGGUGAGGUUAAUACCUUCACUGGAUGACGGUACCGUAAGAAGAAGCACCGGCUAACUACGUGCCAGCCGCCGCCGUAAAAC
rnacentral:rRNA from 1 species